UGCGCCUUGCCAGCCCGCUCAGAAACUUAAAGGAAUUGACGGGGGCCCGCACAAGCGGAGGAGCAUGUGGUUUAAUUCGAUGAUACGCGAGGAACCUUACCUGGGCUCGAACGUAAGAUGACUGUAGGUGAAAGCUUACAUCUCUUCGGAGCAUUUUACGAGGUGCUGCAUGGUUGUCGUCAGCUCGUGCCGUGAGGUGUCGGGUUAAGUCCCAUAACGAGCGCAACCCCUACCUUUAGUUGCCAUCAGGUUAAGCUGGGGACUCUAAAGGAACUGCCUACGCAAGUAGUGAGGAAGGCGGGGAUGACGUCAAAUCAGCACGGCCCUUACGUCCAGGGCUACACACGUGCUACAAUGGCCGGUACAGAGCGCAGCGAGGCCGCGAGGCGGAGCGAAUCGCUUAAAGCCGGUCCCAGUACGGAUUGGAGUCUGCAACCCGACUCCAUGAAGUUGGAAUCGCUAGUAAUCGUGGAUCAGCAUGCCACGGUGAAUACGUUCCCGGGCCUU
rnacentral:rRNA from 1 species